UCCUACGGGACGCAGCAGUGGGGAAUAUUGCACAAUGGGGGAAACCCUGAUGCAGCGACGCCGCGUGAGUGAAGAAGUAUUUCGGUAUGUAAAGCUCUAUCAGCAGGGAAGAUAAUGGCGGUACCUGACUAAGAAGCCCCCGCUAACUACGUGCCCGCAGCCGCGGUAAUACGUAGGGGGCAAGCGUUAUCCGGAUUUUCUUGGUGUAAAAGGGGCGUAGGUGGCAGGGCAAGUCAGAUUUUAAAGCCCCGGGCUCAACCCCGGUA
rnacentral:rRNA from 1 species